rnacentral:misc_RNA from 1 species
GAUGAAGAACGAAGCGAAAUGCGAUACGUAGUGUGAAUUGCAGAAUUCAGUGAAUCAUCGAAUCUUUGAACGCACAUUGCACCUCUCGGUAUUCCGGGAGGUAUGCCUGUUCGAGCGUCAUUUGUACCCUCAAGCUCUGCUUGGUGUUGGGUGUUUGUUCCGCCUCUGUGUGUGAACUCGCCUCAAAACAAUUGGCAGCCGGCGUACUUGUUUCGGAGCGCAGCACAUUUUGCGAUCCAGAUCAACGUACAGCGGCAUCCAAGAAGCCUUAUUUAACGCUCUUGACCUCGGAUCAGGUAGGGAUACCCGCUGAACUUAAGCAUAUCAAUAAGCGGAGGA